AGGGAGUAUGGUAGCAAGGCUGAAACUUAAAGGAAUUAACGGAAGGGCACCACCAGGAGUGGAGCCUGCGGCUUAAUUUGACUCAACACGGGGAAACUUACCUUUUAACAAAAAAGGCAGCAUAGACACCAUUUUUCUGAUAAUUUCUAAAGUAAUUUUUCACUAUAUUUUCAAUAAAGAUCUUCUAGUUUAUUGAUUUUCACAUA
rnacentral:ncRNA from 1 species